CUGCGACCCCAGGUCAGGCGGGAUCACCCGUUGAGUUUAAGCAUAUCAAU
rnacentral:rRNA from 1 species